rnacentral:sRNA from 1 species
CUCCCUCCCUCCCUUCUUGAAAAAGGGUCUCAACAAAGUAACUUAGGUUGAAUUCAAGCUCAGGACGGUCCUGUUCAGCCCCCGGAGAGUCAUGGUCCAUCGUUCAAAAGAUGCACCCCUAGAACAGCCAUGGACCAGGCCCAGCAGUGUGCUCAGGGGGGUGUCCCACCUUCAGUUGAUGCUCAUGGUGAAGUCAGGAGUCGUCAACCUCAGAGCAUUUCAGACUCAAAAAUAAAUUUCCAGGCACCACAUAAUCAGGCUGCAGGCUCAUGAACGAUAAGAAAAAAAAAGAACUUUGAAUAUUAUGCUAGACUAAAGAUCAAUAGACCGGAAUAUCAGAUACCUGCUCUCAGACUCGCACCAGAGCCUAGAUCAUCCAGUUUGAUGCCUCCUCAAAGGAGCUUCCACUACUCAAGGAAGGGAGGAAGAAAGGAAAGAGGACAGGCUACCUCGGUCUUCUGGAAGAUUCCAGGUAUGGCCGUACUGUGAGUCCUAGGCAGCUAGGGGCCAGUAGCAGCCCAUGGUCCACUCCUAGGGCUGACCUUCCCUGUGAGUUGUAUGGCUUACCAUUUGCAUACUCUAACGAGAUGGGCUGUAAUUGGCUUCCAUUGAUUUU